AGACAGAGGGUGCGAACGUUGCUCGGAAUUACUGGGCGUAAAGCGCGUGUAGGCGGACAGUCAAGUCAGGCGUGAAAUCCCUGGGCUCAACCCAGGAACUGCGCCUGAAACUGGCUGUCUCGAGUGUCGGAGAGGGAAGCGGAAUUCCUGGUGUAGAGGUGAAAUUCGUAGAUAUCAGGAGGAACACCGGUGGCGAAGGCGGCUUCCUGGACGAUUACUGACGCUGAGACGCGAAAGCGUGGGGAGCAGACAGGAUUAGGUACCCUGGUAGUCCACGCCGUAAACGAUGAGUGCUAGGUGUCUCGGGUAUUGACCCCUGAGGUGCCGUAGCUAACGCGUUAAGCACUCCGCCUGGGAACUACGGCCGCAAGGCUAAA
rnacentral:rRNA from 1 species